AGUGAACGCUGGCGGUAGGCCUAACACAUGCAAGUCGAACGGCAGCACAGAGGAGCUUGCUCCUUGGGUGGCGAGUGGCGGACGGGUGAGGAAUACAUCGGAAUCUACUCUGUCGUGGGGGAUAACGUAGGGAAACUUACGCUAAUACCGCAUACGACCUACGGGUGAAAGCAGGGGAUCUUCGGACCUUGCGCGAUUGAAUGAGCCGAUGUCGGAUUAGCUAGUUGGCGGGGUAAAGGCCCACCAAGGCGCCGAUCCGUAGCUGGUCUGAGAGGAUGAUCAGCCACACUGGAACUGAGACACGGUCCAGACUCCUACGGGAGGCAGCAGUGGGGAAUAUUGGACAAUGGGCGCAAGCCUGAUCCAGCCAUACCGCGUGGGUGAAGAAGGCCUUCGGGUUGUAAAGCCCUUUUGUUGGGAAAGAAAUCCAUCUGGUUAAUACCCGGGUGGGAUGACGGUACCCAAAGAAUAAGCACCGGCUAACUUCGUGCCAGCCGCCGCCGUAA
rnacentral:rRNA from 1 species